ensembl:lncRNA
ACCUUGCAUCUUAGAGACAUGAAAAAUCAUUGAAAUUUGAGUGCACAUGGUUUCUGUGUAAAGAGAAGAAAGUUCAUAUACUUGGGCUCUCCAGAGAAACAGAGUUGGCUUAUUGACAACAGAAAUUUAUUUCUCAUAGUUCUGGAGGCUCAGAAGUCCAAGAUCAAGAUACUGACUGAUUAGGUAUCUUGUGCAAAUAAUUUUUGGUAAACUAAAUUCUUUCCAGAAGUACUUAUAAGAGAGCUGGGUAUUUGAAAGAAGCACAGGAGGUGCCUUGAAUAGUGAAGAAGACCCUCACUUUCAAGACACUAAUACCUCCCACUCUUUUAAGAGAUUACAUCAUGAGAAACGACAGGCUGGGUGAAUCACCAGCUGGAAUCAAGAUUGCUGAGAGCAAUAUAAACAACCUCAGAUAUACAGAUAAAUACCACUCUAAUGACAGAAAGGGAAGAGGAUCUAAAGAGCACCUUGAUGAGAAUAAAAGAGAAGAGUGAAAAAACUGACUUAAAACUCAACAUUCAAAAAAACUA